GAUGAGCAUGCGCGACAUCAGCUAGUUGGCGAGGUAACGGCUCACCAAGGCUGCGAUGUCUAGGGGUUCUGAGAGGAUUCACCCCCACACUGGUACUGAGACACGGACCAGACUCCUACGGGAGGCAGCAGUAAGGAAUAUUGGUCAAUGGACGCGAGUCUGAACCAGCCAUGCCGCGUGAAGGAAGACGGCCCUACGGGUUGUAAACUUCUUUUGUACGGGAAAAAACCACCGGUCGUGCACCGGUGCUGAUGGUACCGUAAGAAUAAGCAUCGGCUAACUCCGUGCCAGCAGCCGCGGUAAUACGGAGGAUGCAAGCGUUAUCCGGAUUCAUUGGGUUUAAAGGGUGCGCAGGCGGAAUGAUAAGUCAGUGGUGAAAUCCUACGGCUCAACUGUAGAACUGCCAUUGAUACUGUCGUUCUUGAGUACACUUGGAGUGGGCGGAAUAUGUCAUGUAGCGGUGAAAUGCUUAGAUAUGACACAGAACACCGAUCGCGAAGGCAGCUCACUAAAUUGUAACUGACGCUCAGGCACGAAAGCGUGGGGAUCAAACAGGAUUAGAU
rnacentral:rRNA from 1 species